ensembl:lncRNA
ACCCAUUGAGCAGCUAUCCUGGUUACCCUGUAGCUGCGGACUUUGGAAUUAUGGGCCACCUAUUCUAUCCUAUGCUAUUUUUUUCUACUCAUUUAAUUGUGUGUGCUAAUGACCACUGUGAACAAACAUUCAAAAAAAUAGAAAAUAACAUUUAUGAAUUGCAGUCUUUAAUGUACAUGACGUGAAAAUCCACUCAGCGACUUGUUAAAAGUUCUCAUGGGAUUUUUAAGAAGUUUUCUACCAAAAAAUGUAUGUAGAAGACGUUAUUAACAAAAUGAAGAAGUAACUUUACAUAAGGCACCAGGAGUGGGAAAUAUGAAGUAGAUUUAGGAUGAAGGUUGGACCUUCAGAACCUCUUGAAGAAAUGCCUUGGAUCUCUUUAAUCAAUUCUUCCCAGUGAUGCAGUUUCUAACACCUCAGAGUGAAGGGAGACCUAAGCUUUGCAGUGGGCCCCACACAUAUACAUACAAAACAAUUGUUCAUCUUUCCCCAUAAGUUCACCACAGUUGGGCAAGAGAAGAAAGGAACAAAUCAAGAGGACAGGAAGAUCAUCUUCACUUUCUCUUGGACUCAAAAGGAUAUCAGUGGGGCAUAUGAUUCCAAGUCCAAUGCUCUCUAUUAAACCACCUUGACUCCCACUUCAGUAAUGAGUAAUUUCUUGUUGGUUUAAGUAGAAUUACUUUCAUUUUGGGAAUGUUGUUUGCUGUUUUCCAUGUCUAGAGACUAAUUGCUUUUUUUUUUUUUUUUACUUAGCAAAAGAAUUCAUGAUAGAUGGGCAUGAUGUUUCUGUAUGAUCUGCAGUUCUUUGGUCCUUUAUUUAUUCCUUUAUUUCUGAUCUGUAUUUUCCAACAUCUUCAUCUCUCACCUUGAAGUCAUUCAAUUUCAAAAGAAUAUAUUGAUUUAAUUUAAAAGUUUUAUUGAAUUCUUUGCAAAAUUUCUUUAUCUUUUCAUUUUCUGUAUUAGAUGUUGGUGCAUGAAUUGUAAUUACUUUUAUGGAAGACUUUUUUGCAUAUACUUAUGUGCAUCAUAAUACAAGUCUUUAUUUGCUUUAUAUGCGUGUAUGUGUGUGUAUAUCUAUUUCUCAUGAUAUUGGGUCUUUGAAAGGAGGUUUAUUUCAUGAUUAUGUCCAGUGCCAGGCAGCUAAGUACUUGUUGAAGAUAACAUGCCCUGGAAUUGUUUCUUAUUGCCUUGGGGUGCAUGAUAAAAACCAGUUCCAUCAAUUCUUUUAUUUACCUAUCAAGAAGAACUCAUAACCAUCCUUCUGUGUAGCUGUAACUCUCUUCUUUCUUCAUGCCUUUUUUUCCCCUCCAGUGGAAGUAUGAAGAUCAACAUGAUUCAAUUCUUUUAGUAAUGUGUCCCCUUGUUGGUCAUUGAACAAAUGUCUCACAUUUGGAGGACCGAUUUCCUUAAAUCCUUAAGUUUAAGUUCAUAUAGUCUAAAAAUUGUGUGAUUCUUAAUGUAUUUACCCCAUUUUCUGCCACUUUGCUACUAUCGUUACUAUAGCAGAAAAGAUCAUACAAGAUUGAGGGGCAAUUUGUAUUUUUCUUUCUUUCAUGGUUUUUUAUGCUCAGAGAAGAUGAUGAUCAGGGUGUUAAAUUUCCUUUUCUCAUAUCAGAGAGAGAAAAAGAAACAUCCUGUCAUCUUUAGUCAAAUUUUAAUUACUGUAUAGACAUCUCAACAUCCUGCUAUUCUUUAAUAUGACUGGUCUACUUACAUCUUCCCAUUUCUCUUCAUUUACCUUCUCUCCCCUUCUCCUAGUACUUUCCUAUUCCCACCCCACUUCCUUUACUUCCCUCCUCACUAACUCCCUUAAUAUUCUUGACUUUUUGUUUUUCCAGCUGAAUUUUGUUAUUAUUUCUUUCUAGCUCUAUAAAAUAAUUUUUUGGGGGAGGUUGAUUGGUAUGCCACUGAAUAAGUAGCAUUUAGGUAGAAUUAUCCUUUUUAUUAAAUUAGCUCGGCCUACCCAUGAGCAAUUGAUAGUUUUCCAGUUGUUUAGUUCUGACUUUAUUUGUGUGAAAAGUAUUUUGUAAAUUGUGUUCAUAUUGCUGGGUUUGUCUUGGCAGAUAGAAACCCAAAUAUUUUAUUUUAUCUACAGUUAUUUUAAAUAUUUCUCUUUCUAUUUCUUGCUGCUUGGCUUUGUCAGUAAUUUAUAGAAAUGCUGAUGAUUUGUGUGGGUUUAUUUUAUAUCCUGCAGCUUUGCUUAAGCUAUUAAUUGUUUCAAAUAGGUUUUUGGCUGAUUUUCUAGUAUUCUCUAAGUAUAACCUCAUAUCAUCUAAAAAGAGUGGCAGUUUUAUCUCCUCAUUGCCUAUUCUAAUUCCUUUGAUUUCUUUUUCUUUUCUUAUUGCUAAAGCCAACAUUUCUAGUACAAUAUUGAAUAAUAGUGGUGAUAAUGGUCAUUUUUGUUUCAGCCCUGAUCUUAUUGGGAAUACGUCCAGCUUCUCUCCAUUACAAAUAAUGCUUGCUGUUGGUUUUAGAUAGAUGCUGCUUAUUAUUUUAAGGAAAACUCUUUAUCUCUAUGUUUUCUAAUAUUUUUUUUUUUAAUAAGAAUAGGUACUAUAUUUUGUUCAGAGUUUUUUUCUACAUCUAUCGAGAUUAUCAUAUGAUUUCAGUUGGUUUUGUUAUUUUUAUGGUUGAUUAUGACAGUAGUUUUCCUGAUAUUGAACCAACUUUACAUUCCUAGUAUUAUAGAUUCUAAUACUUAGUUAUAGUAUAUGAUCCUGAUCAUAAAUUGUUAUAAUCUCUUUGCUAAUAGUUUUAUUUAAAAAUUUUGCAUUGAUAUUCAUUAGGGAAAUUGGUCUGUACUUUUCUUUCUUUGUUUUGGUUCUUCCUGGUUUAGGCAUCAGUAUCAUAUUUGUGUCAUGGAAGGGAUUUGGUGGGACUCCUUCCUUCACUCACUUUUCCAAAUAAUUUACAUAGUUGGAAUUAAUUGCUUUUUAAAUCACUUAUGAAUUCAUCUGGGCCUGAAUAUUUUUUCUUAGGGAGUUCAUCAAUGGCUUAUUCACUUUCUUUUUCUAAAAUGGGACUAUUUAAAUAAUUCAUUUCCUCUUCUGUUAAUCUGGGUAAUUUAUAUUUUUGUAAAUAUUCAUCCAUUUCAAUUAGAUUGUCAGACUUGCUGACAUACAGUUGGCAAAAUAGCUCCUAAUUAUUGCCUUAAUUUUUUUUCAUUGGUGGUAAUUUUAUCCUUUUCAUUUUUGAUGCUGGUAAUUUGUUGUUGUUGUUUUCUUUUCUUUUCUUUUUCUAAUCAAAUUAACCAAAGGUUUUCUUUUUUUUUCAAUAAAACCAACUCUUUGAUUAAUUAGUUCAAUAGUUUUCUUAGUUUCAAUUUUAUUAAUCUCUCCUUUGAUUUUCAGAAUUUCUAAUUUGGUAUUUAAUUGAGGUUUUUAAUUGUUCUUUUUUUUCUAGCUUUUUAAAUUUCAUGCCUAAUUCAUUGAUCUCCUUUUUCUCUAUUUUAUUUAUGUUUAGAGAUAUAAAAUUUCCCCUAAGAACUGCUUUGGCUACAUCCCACAGGUUUUGGUAUGUUGUCUCAUUAUUGUCAUUCUCUUGGAUGAAAUUAUUAAUUGUUUCUGUGAUUUGUUGUUUGAUCUCAUUAUUUUGAAUUAGAUCAUUUAAUUUCCAAUUGGUUUUUAGUCUAUCUUUCCCUGGCCUUUUACUGAAUAUUGUUUUUUAUUAUGUUGUGGUCUGAAAAGAAGGCAUUUACUAUUUCUGCCUUUCUGCAUUUGAUUGUAAGGUUUUUAAUGUCCUAAUUCAUGGUCAGCAGUACAGGUGCCCUGUACUGCUAAGAAAAAGGGUUAUUUCUUUCUGUCCCUAUUCAAUUUUCUUGAGAGAUCUAUCAUAUCUAAUUUUUCUAGGAUUCUAUUAACUUCCUUAAUUUCUUUCUUACUUAUUUAGUGGUUAUGUUUGUCUAAUUCUGAGAGGUAGGGUUGAAGUCCCCCACUAAUAUAGUUUUGCUAUCUAUUUCUUCCUGUAAGAAUUUAUAUACUCUUUUACUUGGUGAAUAUACAUUUAGUAUCAUUAUACUUCGUUGUUUAUAGUACCCUCCUUCCCUCCUCAUCUCCUCACCUCCAGCUUACUACCUUUCCUUACUCAUCUUCUUUCGCCAGAUUCCCUUCCACUUCUUUGCCCUUCUUUACACAUUUUUCCUUUUCAACGUCCUAUUGCUUCCUAUUCACCUUCUCUCUUUAGCUUCCUGCUUUCAUACUUACCUUCUUUCUCUGUUCACCUUCCUACUUCACCUUCAGCUUUUAUCUUUAGUAUUUACCUUUUCUUCACCUAGACCAUUCUCUACAGUUCCCUAAGUUAACUAGGGGACAGAAAAUUGAGAGUGGGUGAACUUUUCCCUGGAGACCAAAAUUAAACUUCUCCCUUUUCAUAAAUAAGAAUAAAGAACUUAAAUGCCCAGAUUUAAAUAAAAAAUAAUUCUUCAAAAAGUCUUUAGUUUUGUUGGCAUUCUUUCUCCAAUGAAUGUGGACCCACCUCUAUACCUUGUUGUAGAUUAAUUCCAUGAGAUGAUGGGGCCAUAAAAUGGGUCAAAUACUGGCCAGAGUUCUAGCAAUGGAACUCUCUUAUUUAGGCUAAUCCUCAAGUAAUAGGCAUCCAUCAUCUCUCAUCUUUUCAGGUUGGUAGAAUGUGCCAGAGUUUUUACUUUGAUGGCAACACCUUACAGAACCUAGGGUCACCUCCAUAGAAUAAUGAGGCACUGGACAAGGAGUUACUGAAAUUAACAAUGACAACAAUAUACCACAUGCCUAAAGUUUAAAAUAAGCAAAUACAAUAUUUAUUUGCUCUAGAUUUAGUGAAUAAAUGGAACUCUUAUCGCCAUUCCCCCCCCCCCAAAAAAAAAAAGACAAAAGGAAGGACAGAUAGGAAAAGAAUAGAACUGGGAUGAAAGAUAAGGAAGGGCAAGGGAAGGAAGAUCUAGGAAGGAGGGAGUGAUGGGGAGGAAGAAUGGACUAGAGUCCAGAAAGAGCUAAAAUGUAGCAUUAUAGGAUAUUUUAAGGGCACACAAAUAUGCACAAAAAUAAAAUCCAGGUCCAUUGACUUGUGAUAUUUAGUGAUGUCCACUGGAGCCUGAGCCACAUUAAUGUUAUUGACUCCAUUACUAUAGCUAUCCUAGUCUAUUGGGUCUGGUAAUACACAAAGGAAGAAUUAGUUAGUAGGAGAAGAAGUAGAGGAAGAAUGCUUAGAGAGCAUUCCCUAAGAGUAUUUGGGUCCUGGCCUGGAAGUACAAGACUUAUAUAACCUCACUGAGGGACUGGUUAGCUCAUUGCCAAAAGAGAAUCUAGACCUCAAGCUCUCCUCUCCUUGAAGCCUCCUAGGUCACUGUGUUAGACAAUAUUUUAAUUUGUUGCACUCUGAAGGAGUGAUCUCAAUCAGAGUUGCCCUUGUGGGUAGCUUUCUUGCAAAAGUCAGUGUUUCAGGAAUACUAUCAGAAGGUUGUGUCAAUAUUUCAAACAACUUAUAAAGAUUUCUAAGAUUAGGGCUAUGGUGUACAGCUUUGUGAAAAGAGCUAUAUUGUAAACUACUAAGGAUAUUAAAAAAUAGGAAAGUUAUCAUGGAUAUAAAUGAAGGAACUAAAUGACAUGGAAAGAGGGAAGGCAAAAGGCUUUUGAAAAUUGCUUGAAUGUGAUUGGGAGAUUCCAACUAUCACAGUAAACUGGAAUCCUAAUGUCUGCUCAAAGACCAAGGCAGAGGCAAAUUUGACAAAGAAUGUGUUCAGUAUGUCACUGUGGCUUACAAUGUCUUCAUUUUCAUUGUCAUGUUUUAUCUUAAGUUGGAUGAGUAAGUAGAGAAAUAUAAUGUCCUUCACACUUUUUCUUUUUCUUUUUUUUUUGUUAAUAACUUUUUAUUGACAGAACCCAUGCCAGGGUAAUUUUUUACAACAUUAUCCCUUGCACUCACUUCUGUUCCGAUUUUUCCUUCCCUCCCUCCACCCUCUCCCCCAGAUGGCAAGCAGUCCUAUACAUGUUAAAUAGGUUACAGUAGAUCUUAGAUAUAAUAUAUGAGUGCAGAACUGAACAGUUCUUUUGUUGCUCAGGGAGAAUAGGAUUUAGAAGGUAUAAAUAACCCGGGAAGAAGAACAAAAAUGCAAGCAGUUUAAAUUCAUUUCCUAGUAUUCUUUCUUUGGGUGUAGCUGCUUCUGUGCAUCCUUGUUCAAUUGAAACUAAGUUAGAUCUUCUCUUUGUUGAAGAAAUCCACUUCCAUCAGAAUCCGUCCUCAUACAGUAUUGUUGUUGAGGUAUAUAAUGAUCUCCUGGUUCUGCUCAUUUCGCUCAGCAUCAGUUCAUGUAAGUCUCUCCAAGCCUCUCUGUAUUCAUCCUGCUGGUCAUUUCUUACAGAACAAUAAUAUUCCAUAACAUUCAUAUACCACAAUUUACCCAACCAUUCUCCAAUUGAUGGGCAUCCAUUCAUUUUCAAGCUUCUGGCCACUACAAACAGGGCUGCCACAAACAUUUUGGCACAUACAGGUCUCUUUCCCUUCUUUAAGAUCUCUUUGGGAUAUAAGCCCAGUAGUAACACUGCUGGAUCAAAGGGUAUGCACAGUUUGAUAACUUUUGGGGCAUAGUUCCAAAUUGCUCUCCAGAAUGGCUAGAUGUCCUUCACACUUUUUCAUCCAAAUUCCUUUCUCCCCACAUAAAACAGUUGGAAAGAGAAGCAGACUAGGAGAUGAGAGACCUCUGUUCCAGACCUGGUCUUAACAUUAACUAGCUUUGUGUCCUUGGUAGUUGUUCACAAGCUAUUAAAUGAGGAUAGAAUCAUAUAUUUAGAUGGUUAGAGAAAGGAAGGUACUUUGAGAUCAUCUAUUCUAAUGGUUUCAUUUUACAGAAGGGGAAACUGAAGCUCAGAGUGGGAACCUUACUAAAAACAGAAUAAAGAUUAGAAACCAUGUCUUCUCACUCUUGGCCCAGUGCUUUUUUCUAAAGCACUAUUUAUGAGACUUGGGGGUAAUAAAAUAAGAGGUGUGAAAGUUCUUCAAAAAGUAGAUUAUGGUCAUUUCCCAAACUACAUAGCUUCUUCAGUGAUCCCAAACUAUUCCUCCCAACUUUUUGAUAAAAUAAAAAUGCUUUUUUGGGGAUGUUUAAUCUUCACUCUUUUGAAUUUUAAAUAUUAAAUAAUAUAAUUUCAUUAAAUAUUUUCUAAUUAAAUAUAAAACAUUUUUUAAUAAUCAUUUAAAUUUUUUGAGUUCCAAAUUCUCUCCUUCUCUCUUGCCCCUCCCUAUUCCUUGAGAAAGUAAUCUUCUAUCAUUUUUACAUGUAACAUCAUACAAAACACAUUUCUAUAUUAGCCAUGUUACAAAAGAAAAUAGAAAAAAGGUUUAAAAAAGUUUGCUUCAAUCUGCAUUCAAAGUAAAAACACUUACUUUAACACCACAUUCUCCUAGACAUACCAUAUAGCUACAAAUCAUGGAACCACCUAAAUCUACAAAGAUUCAAAGUUUUUAAAUCACGCCAUUGGCAACAACAAGAGAUACAUGGAAGGCAGAAAUAGAACUGCAGCACAUCAUCAAUUUGAAAUUGCAUACCUGAACCAUUGUAAAGGAGAUCACGAGAAGGAGCAUGAAUCAAAAGAACACAGACAAAAGUAUGAUCAGAACAAAAAUUGAAUGUGUUAUGUGCUAAGUAUAAGGAAAAUAUGUUCUGUGUCCUCUGGAAGAGACCAAAGUAUCUACCAAUACUUUGGUCUAAUGUGACAUCCACAUUUAAAUUCAAAAUCUUCAAUCAAUUUGUAUUAGUUAUUUAUUCCAAAUUACAUAUUGAUUUCAUGUAGAAAAAUUUCAUGAGAUAAAAGAGCUGUGUGAUAUAUUUUUUCAGGAGAACCAUAGACAUGUACAUCAAGUAUUUAAUGAAAUGUUUUGGUCCCAUUUGCUCUUUAACUUGGAAACCAUAUUUACUUAGAAAAGAUUAUAUUGUAGACAGGAUUAGAUAAAAACUAUCUCCAUGACAAAUGCGCAUGUUUUAUAUUUCUUGUCCUUGACAUUAUUACAUUAAUGGUAUGUUCUAUUUGAAGAAUGCCUUCUAUGUGUACCUCACAUACCACUAUACUAUUCUCAAUAUAUUUGGAUCUAUUAUAUAUUUUAAAGCCAUGAACAAAUCAUGAAUAUGGGACCAAGUCAAAGAUUUUGUAAUAAUCAUUAAAGACAAUAUGGGUGUGUUAUCACUUUCAGCUGGCUUGUUGAAUAAUCACUGAAUUGAUAAUAUGUUCUUUAUACUGUGAGACUUUUUGGCACAUUUUUACUCCUAGCCAAUAUAUUCUCCUAUGUGUUUAUAGUAUUUUAUUUGCUUAUUUUUGUUUUUGGUGAAACAAGAUACUUACACAUACAAUUGGCCUAUAUUUAGAGGGUUCAAUAGUUUUUUCAAUUUUGGAUAAUAGAUGUGUAAUUUCUUCUGUUUAGAAAGGGGGGGACCAGACUUACAUGUUAGAAGAAAGGAGUCAGAUGCUUUGCUAACUAUUUGUGCACCACCAUGAAGCUUUUGAGCCAAUAAUUCUGGACCUUAACCAUCCACUUUGCUUUUUUUCAGAGAAGCAAAUUUCCAUCGCCUUUAACAAAUUAUUAUAUAUUAUACUAUCAUAUAAUAUAUAUUAUUAUUAUUAUGUUAAUGGUACUCAAGUUCUCUUUUUAAUUUGAUGUAAGCUGUGUUUUUAUUGUAUUGGACUUGUAUAACCAUAUAAAUAACUAGAAAAUUUCCACACCUUACUUCUUCAGGAGUUUUCUCUCCUCUGAUUUCUUUGCUCCUCAAGCCUUUUUAGUAAAAUUCUGAGUUGAUAUUAAAUUGUUUAUUUUAUUCUUUAUGCUGCUUUGACUCAUUGAAUUAUCUUAGCUUUUUGGCUUUCAUGUUCAAUUGCUAAUUAAGGACAUCAAAACCUUCUGA